CGGCGGACGGGUGAGUAACGCGUGGGUAACCUACCCUGUACACACGGAUAACAUACCGAAAGGUAUGCUAAUACGGGAUAAUAUAUUUGAGAGGCAUCUCUUAAGUAUCAAAGGUGAGCCAGUACAGGAUGGACCCGCGUCUGAUUAGCUAGUUGGUAAGGUAACGGCUUACCAAGGCGACGAUCAGUAGCCGACCUGAGAGGGUGAUCGGCCACAUUGGAACUGAGACACGGUCCAA
rnacentral:rRNA from 1 species